rnacentral:miRNA from 2 species
CGCGCUAAUCAGUGACCGGGGCU